AUGCAAGUCGAACGUGAAAGCACUUCGGUGUGAGUAGAGUGGCGGACGGGUGAGUAACGCGUGGGAAUCUACCCAGUAGUGGGGGACAACUACCGGAAACGGUAGCUAAUACCGCAUACGCCCUAUGGGGGAAAGGCUUCGGCCGCUAUUGGAUGAGCCCGCGUCAGAUUAGCUAGUUGGUAGGGUAAAGGCCUACCAAGGCAACGAUCUGUAGCUGGUCUGAGAGGACGAACAGCCACACUGGGACUGAGACACGGCCCAGACUCCUACGGGAGGCAGCAGUGGGGAAUAUUGGACAAUGGGCGAAAGCCUGAUCCAGCAAUGCCGCGUGUGUGAAGAAGGCCUGCGGGUUGUAAAGCACUUUCAGUUGGGAAGAUGAUGACGUUACCAACAGAAGAAGCACCGGCUAAAUCCGUGCCAGCAGCCGCGGUAAUACGGAUGGUGCGAGCGUUAAUCGGAAUUACUGGGCGUAAAGCGCGCGUAGGCGGCUAAGUCAGUCAGAAGUGAAAGCCCCGGGCUCAACCUGGGAAUUGCUUUUGAUACUGCUUAGCUAGAGUUUGGUAGAGGAUAGUGGAAUUCCAGGUGUAGCGGUGAAAUGCGUAGAUAUCUGGAGGAACAUCAGUGGCGAAGGCGACUGUCUGGACCAAAACUGACGCUGAGGUGCGAAAGCGUGGGUAGCAAACAGGAUUAGAUACCCUGGUAGUCCACGCCGUAAACGAUGUCAACUAGCCGUCGGGUCUAUUUACAGACUUGGUGGCGAAGCUAACGCGAUAAGUUGACCGCCUGGGGAGUACGGCCGCAAGGUU
rnacentral:rRNA from 1 species